rnacentral:rRNA from 1 species
GUUCCCGGGCCUUGUACACACCGCCCGUCACACCAUGGGAGUGGGUUGCACCAGAAGUAGCUAGUCUAACCUUCGGGGGGACGGUUACCACGGUGUGAUUCAUGACUGGGGUGAAGUCGUAACAAGGUAGCCGUAGGGGAACCUGCGGCUGGAUCACCUCCUUA